AGUGAUGUAAUGUUCACUCACAUUAUAUAACAUUAAUUUGACAUUUUGGAAGUUCAGCUUGUUUGUUGCUUUACCAGGACUUGGAUGGGAGCGUUGAUGUGAUUUUUCUACCUCUAGACUGAUCGGGGAUGUUUUUGCUUGGCGCAGGACCUAGAGGUUCUGGGUGAAGGCUAGCCACUGGAAAGCCUAUCACCUGGUUUUGUUCAGAGUUAGAGAUGACGGGACCCCUGGAAUGCGAUGUGCAGUCACUGGGUCUAAGCUAAGUGUUGAAGACCAGUAAAUACUUCCAAAAAGUAGGCUGGCUGCUUGUUAACCACAAUGUCUUGUUUUCUAUUGCUCUAUGUGUUAAAUACAGAAGAUGCAACAAGUGAGUGUGGAGGUUUUGUAAUAAAAGUCACCUUCGAAGAAGCUGGGUUGAGUAACGAAAGUAGUGUCAGCAAUUGUCUAUAAUUGGUGAAGUAAUAAAAUUACUUUUUCAGCGAGUGAUUGACAUUUCUCAAGUAGCCCAACACUGUUAUGUGUUUUGUAAGGGGGAAAAAUGGUCACCUCACACUUUUCUUGUUUCAUUCCCUUAAAUAAAAGACUAAUAACUGCAGAUGGAACAAAUACCCCAUGACCUUUUUCUGUAACUAAUGGGAAAGUGUCAGUAUAUAAAAAAAAAAGACAGAGAAGACAGACCACUUUGCCAUACUCUGUGACAUAACAAUCAGACAGACCCAAUCUCUGUGGACAGACUAAUCAGCCAAAGUUGCAAACAGCGGACAUAGCCUCCGCUGGUUCACUUCGCUCUGCCCUCUGGAUUAUUGAUACAGACACCUGCAGGGAUCCGGGAAAUCGACACACACCGGUGAACACAGCCAACACACACAUGCACCGACACACGGAGCCAGCACGCUGCAGGAUGAGUCAUGGAUAGCUGAGGUCAGUGCAUAGAUCUGGAGACAUUAGUGAAGAGAGAGGGGAAGCACCUGCUCGAACAGGCCUUAGGGAGGGAGCGGUGAGGAAAGCAUGGAUUUAAAUUAGCAGAAGGAUGGAUCCUCUGAAUAUUUGCAUAUGCCUCCUCAUGUCACGGUCGACCUGUAAAGCCUGUUCCCCAUGGAGAACGAGCUACGACUGCAUAUGUCCACCACUCAGCAAUCACAAAGAACAAAGGUCACCAUGACAGGUAUAAGUAGACAGAGAAAACAUUUCUGUUUAACCGGUUACCAUAACAGCAGCGAGUAAGACUAGGGUCACAGUCCAUAACACACACACACAAUCUCAAUUAGCAGAGCAGCAGUCAUUUCUCUGAAUGCCAGCCUGUUUCUGUCUAUGCUGCACAGUAAGAAUGAGCCCUCAGGUGACACACGCACACACACACACACAUACACGGUCACACGUGUGCAGGUUCAUUAGCAUGCUAAUUGGAGGUGAGGACAGUGUGGUGCGGAGGUGGUGCAGAGCAGCCCCAGUGUAUUAAUCACAGGCUCUGAUAGACCAGCUGACUCUCCAACCUGGUCCCUCAGCCCCCUCACCCCUGCACCUCCUUCCCUCCAGUCUGCCCACCUCCUACUCUCCAACUGAAGCCGGCCUCUAUGACUGCCUGCCCAGCUGGUAAAGGGAGCUUCAGUGCACAAGGGACGCUGUGUUCACACAGGUUCAUUGAGACUAAACAUUUUCUUUUUCAAAAUCUUUGCUUUGGGUCCAAACGCUACAGCACAUACAAGGCUUUUAUUUAUCCAUUUUGUGUAUUUAAUGUCUCACUUUUUAAUUACUUAUAUGGUUUGUUGAUGUUAUUUUUAUCGAUUCUUCUCCAGCCGUUUGAUUUAUUAGUCUUUGCAUAUUUUAGCUAGGUCAUUAUAAGUCAGUGUAAUGUGUUUUGUAACCUCCUUGGCCAGGACAUGUAUGUGAAAGAGAUUUAAUUAAUGUGACAUUAAUGUCAAUGACUGUAAUUCCAAAGUUAGAUAUCCACCAUUAAAGAAACAAAGUGGUGCUUUUUGAGAGUAGGAGUCUCUACUGUGUCUAUCAGCUGUUUGGUGCUGGGCAGAUGAUGUUUGUGUGUGUAUACUGUUUGUCCGAGCUUUUCCACUAACACAGCAACCUCUUGCAUCUGUAGAGAGGAUAGGGCACAUGGUCAUUUGAUCUGUUUGUGAAAUUAAAAUAUUGCUUAGUGCAUCUUUAAGGACCCUGUAAUGUCUGCCUGAGUGAAAACACCAAAUCUGCACAUGAACGCAGGUGUAGCUUUAGCUCGUAUGAGAAGCACUUUCUCUUUGAUUUAAGUGACACUGUAACUGUGCUAGGUAUCUCACAGAUAAGGAAGGAGCUGAUAUUUGACUAUGUGAAAAGCUCCAGGGUUAUGCAGGCAGAGAGAGAAAAAGAGCCAAUGAAGCAGCCAAAAGUAACCUGCUGUUACUGUAACAAGGGACCCUGAUAACACAGUAAUAACAGGCUAAUCGUAUUUGGGUUCAGAAACCACAACAUGCUAAUUCAAUUAGCUUAAUAAGCCCCUGUAGAUAAAAGGCUUGUUUCGGCUGUCGUGAUUGGCUCAAGGUCCCAGGGAGGUGGUCCUCUGGGGCAGUGCGUCUCAGCAUCCACCGCCACCAGUAGAGGGGGAACUUCCAGUACACCAGUGUACUGAAAACUCUGUGUGUGUGUGUGUGUGUGUGUGUGUGUUGGAUAAUGAAAGAUGUUUUGUUGGAAAUCUUGCCUGUAUGCACCUUUUUCUGUUGCUUUUAAAUAUAUUAGCUUUCACUGAUUAUGUCUGUAUAAUGGAUAACUGAGUUGUUUCGAUGGAAAUAGUACAAAGCUGAUUGGCAGGUAAAGCUUGCUAACACAGAGUGAUAGCGGUCUGGCAGUCAAUAGAUCAGACCUGGGUUCUAGUUCAUGCAAAAAGGAACUGGAAAACAAGUUUUCCUCCCCCCAAGUCUGACUCCUACCUAAAUGUUCUUUGAGAUAAAACUGAUACGCACAAGUUUGACAGAUUCCCCAAAGAAGCAAAUCACCAGCUCCUACUUCUGUAAACUGUGCAUCCUCUUAGAGUUUCAACAAUAGAGGGAAAAGUUGCUCGUCCCUUGGAACUUUCUUUAUUGUUUGUCUCCACAAACACAAAACACAAUGCCAAACAAAACUGUUCUCAGUCUAUUGUCCUGGUGCUGUGUCUCGGUUCACUCUGAGCGUCUGUCUCAGCGCUCGGCUCUUUGUGUGGAGAUGCACAGAAAGGCAUGGUCGUAUUGUUUCAGCGGCUGAGAAGGAGAAUGGAACUGUUACAGUGGGGAGAAUUGGCAGCUGAGCCCAGCGAGGAGAUUCUCCACACAGUAUUAGGGAGAGGGAUCACGACGCUCCACCGCCGCGCUGGCCCCGCUCACCCCUCACGCACACACACACACACACACACACACACACACACACACACGCUCCCCAAAACUAGACGUACAGCUUCGGUUCCCUCCCCUUCCCUGUGAAAUCUGCAUUCUCUCUUAACCCUUUGUUUCUCAGCAGACGAGCUAAUCUGUUUACGGGUGUUUGUGAGGGCUCCUUUGUUUGCACCACGCACAUAUGUGUGCACACACAUAUGCACACACACACACAUUAAUCUGCAGGCCACGAGCCAGCUGACACCAGCAGAAUAUAACACCAAUCCCCAUAGACUCUCUCCUGUACACACACACACACACACACACACACACACACACACACACACACACACACACACACACACGCACACAGUCUUUAGUUCUUUCUUUUACAGUCUUUCUUGCUCCCAUGUUCACAGAUGUAUGUGCAUGUGUACGCCUGUGCAUGCAACAUGCAACAACAUGCAUAUUCUACCCAGCUAUAGGAGGUGGGGGAUGGUGCACCUGAUCAGCAGUACCCAAAGCAGAUAAGAGAGGAGGCAGUGUCAAAUGAACAGAGGCAGUGUGGGCAGAGAGAGAGGAUGGUGUCUGGAGGCAGAGAAGUGCUGUAAACAACACAGCUCGCAUUUAAAGACGGAUUUGUUCAGAAGCAGAGGGCACCGCUGGAUCUGUACUGUACGCAUCAGCAAAAGACAACCCAGCACAUAAACACUCCCUCUCUCUCUCUGACGGGGCUCGAUUCUCUCCUCACACCAGCUCGAUCCCCUUCAUCAAACGUCACAGCAAUUUGAGAGAUUAGACUGCACGGAUUAGACACCACAAGGCUGCCUCUUUCUGAAGCGCCUGAUGCCUUUGUGCUCCAUUCUUUCCACCUCUUUCAUUUCAUAAGACGAUAUUAUAUCAAGUGGUGGUAAGACUCUCACAUUCACAAUAACGGCGUCUCAGUUGAUUCACUAACUAUAGGAUACGAGUGAGUAAUUAUGUAAGAAGUAAACACACUCGCUGACUCCCUAUUCCAUCUCGCACUGGCAUACUUGUUUAUUGGUUAGCCUUACUAGAUUUCCCUGCCUCCACUUCUGCUCUGAUUAAUGAGAUCCACACACAAACUCACACACACACACACACACACACACACACACACACACACACACACACACACACACACACACACACACACACACACACACACAGGCACGUGCUCUCAACACCAGCUCCCCUCUCACCAACUUAGCAGCGCUAUUAGUAAUGAUUGAACCCUAUCCAGUGGAUGUAAUAUAUUAGCAGGGAGAUUAUUCUGACGUUAAAACAUGUUCCCUGUGCUGACAGCAUCAUCAAUCACCCUCACACUGCCUGUAGAAGACUCACACACUGGACGUAAUUGCUUCAGCAUGGGGUUGGGGAGAGGGAGGGAAAGGAGGGAGGCUGAGGAGAGGGAGAAUGUGUGAGAUUUGGUGUUUGUACUUUGCAUGUUAGCCAUACAGCCAAGUGCAGCACUGAGAAUAAAGGACACUAGCACUGCCUAAACUGGCAUUUGAUAAUCCAGCUUGGUCUAAAAUGAGCUUUAAUCUGACUCAUUGCUCAUGACAAAUAGCUCCAACAAUUAUUUCCGAUAACUUCAUUUAAUGGAACUAAAUGUCUCUAUUAUAGGCUGCUACUUGAGGAUGAGUUCUGUACAGGUGGCUUAACUUUUUCAUCUAAUCUCUGUUUCCAACAGUGGUGGGAAAAACAUAUUCAGAUCCUUUACUUAGCAACACCACAGUGCAAAAUAUGCCACAACAGGUAAAAGUCCUGAAUACAAAAUGUUGCUUAAAAAGUACAUCAUUAUUAUCAGCAAAAAGUGCUUAAAGACGCAUUACAGUUUUUUUCAUUUGCUAACAAGUGCUUACCUAAACUUCAGAUACUUUAUCAAAACUCUUAACACAGCAACACUCCAACCUCACACAAUUAGUCAAAUAGUACAUUUUCUGCUCAAAACCACAUUUUGUUCUAUAUACACAAACUUUAUCAAAUCUCACAGCAAACCUGACUCAAAAUCAAAUAAUUCUAACAAAAUACUAGCACGUUUUCUUUCCAAGAGGAACAGAUCAAUCAAUCGUAGCAAAACGACUUUCUAAAUACAAACAGUUGAUGGCAUAACAAAAACUGCAUUACUUUUCAUGUUUCAGCUCUACCUGCAAACAGUAGACAAUCUGAAAUCCAUUGUUUUUUGUAAUUUUUUGCAUUUUUGGCUUGAGGCUCGAAUGUGUGCAUUUUUGGCAACAAACUAUGUAAAAGUGAAUGAGACAUCUUUACUUUAUAGAAUGUAGAAUAGGAAAAAAUGUAAGUGAAAGAAUUACAGAAGUAAAAGCUUUAUUAGCAACAUGAAAUUGCAGCCAAUGGUCAACAAAUAAUCCAGCCUAUGUGGCUUUUGGUUCAAAAUGUGUAAAAAUACUAUCAAAUACAUUUACGUUCCUUCUCGGCUACUUCGCUCCUCCAACGAACACCAUCUUUCUCUGCCAUCCCUAAGCACAAAGCAAUCUCAGUCCCAGCUGUUCUCACCUGUAACACCACGUGAAACAAGCUACCGCAUGCCAUCAGAGCAGGGGUGUCCCUCUCUAACUUCAAGAAGCUCUUGAAAACUCCUUUCUUCCGAAAAAACACUUCCUCUUAUAACACCUCUAACCCCUAACCACUAACAUCAUGUGCUCUUCUUCUUCUAUAUCCUUAUAAUUCUCUUGUCUUGAUUGCACUAUUCAUUAACUCUUACUUCUUUCUCUAUGUAUUUACCCAAUCGAUGCUCUAUGUCCUAAUAGCUGUUACCAGUAUUUAUUGUCAGUCACUUGUAGAUCUCUUUCUGUAUUGUGAUGCUUUAUUGAUGCUUGUAUGUUGUUCCUCAAAUGUAAGUCACUGUGGAUACAAGCGUCUGCCAAAUGAGUAAAUGUAAAUGUAAAUACACACGAUUACAUCGAAACAAAAAAAAUGCACAGAAGGGAAAGAAUCAAAAAUGCACAGCCCUGUUCUAUUUCAUGUGAUCUUCAGCAUUUGGCCACAUGUGCUCAUCCACAUCACAUCUAAUGUCAUCUCUCGCUUUGUACCUGGAUAGAAACUAUUCUUCACCCUUUUUCUGAGAUUAUUUUUACUCUUCUGUGUUGUUCUGUGUCCACAUUGGAUAAACUCAACUCCUGAAAAUUCCCUUUUUGCUGCAUUGUGUAUGUAACUGAAAGAACUUCAGCACCUGUUUAUGUCUCUGCUUAAAAUUGGAAUUAGCUGUGGUUGGUCUAUUUUACCCAAAUUACAAUAAAUCAGUUAUUUCUCAAUGUUUCAA